rnacentral:sRNA from 1 species
ACAGAGUCCUUGUGUCUGUGUGUCUACAUGUCUGCGCGUGUCCCUGUGUCUUUGUGUAUAUAUAUCCAUGCCUGUGUGCCUGUGUUCCUGCGUGUGCUUGUGUGUGCACGUGUGCAUCUGUGUGUUUGUCAGAGUAUGUGUGCAUGUGUGUGUCUGUCAUCGUAUCCAUGUGUGCAUGUGUGUGUCUGUCAGCGUAUCCGUGUGUGCAUGUGUGUGUCUGUCAGCUUAACCAUGUGUGCAUGUGUUUGUCAGUGUAUCCGUGUGUGCAUCUGUGUAUCUGUCCGUGUAUCCGCGUGUGCCUGUGUGUACCUUUGUGUGAGCAUCAAGGGACCUCCCAGGCCUGGUGCUCACCGUCCGCCCCAACGCAUCCUGCAUUGCAGCGACUCCAGCUCGGACACAGACAGCUUCUACGGCGCAGUUGAGCGGCCUGUGGAUAUCAGCCUUUCCCCGUACCCCACGGACAAUGAAGACUAUGAGCACGACGAUGAGGAUGACUCCUACCUGGAGCCCGACUCCCCGGAGCCCGGAAGGCUUGAGGGCGAUCACCCCCCGAUGGGCAGAGUUUCAGGAGCUUCUCCUUUGAAAAGCCCCGGCAACCCUCGCAGGCUGACGCUGGCGGGGACGACUCAGACGAGGACUAUGAGAAGGUGCCACUGCCCAACUCGGUCUUCGUCAACACCACGGAGUCCUGCGAAGUGGAAAGGUUGUUCAAGGCCACAAGCCCCCGGGGAGAGCCCCAGGAUGGACUCUACUGCAUUCGGAACUCCUCUACCAAGUCGGGGAAGGUCCUGGUUGUGUGGGACGAAACCUCUAACAAAGUGAGGAACUAUCGCAUUUUUGAGAA